rnacentral:lncRNA from 1 species
GCCGGGAGCUGCGGGCCGAGUUCGCUGGGCCCUGCGCUUUCAUCCCUGCCGGGGACGCCGGGGUUGCGGGAUAAACCGCUCGACACACCCUGCCUCCCUGACUGCGCCUGUGUGACACAUACGUUCACUGGUGGGGCACGCAUCAGAUACGGAUGGCAGUGGUUUUGAAGUGGGAGGCCCUGUAUAAAUGUAAACGGUUAUUACUGUAAAUGCUCUAACAGAGCUGCCUGGGGGGCGCUUCCAGGGAAGCGUGGCAAUCUCAGGCCGGGAGAGGAGAGGCGUCCUGGGCCAGGGCGCUGCAGGAAUACAGGUCUGGCGAUGUGCAAGUACACAGAUUCACCAGGCAACAGCAUUGCGGCAAGGGUGGGAUGGGGAAGCCGGACCUAAGGCCAGAAAAGGAGAUUGCGACCAGAGCAUGCCUGCUGUGACUGUCAGAGGAUAACAGAUGAAGUGCCUGGGGUUCCUGCUACUCCUGGUUCCCAUGGAGGUGGAGAAGAGGCAGGAGGCCACCUUGGAUCUGGAAGAUACUUCUGGGGCUUGUGGGCAUCUCAGUUUGGCAAAGGGGGCUGACUGAGCCCAACCCCUUCAGAGG